CCUAGCAGCCAGUUGCUCCAGCUCCCUCAAGUCAUCUGAUGUACCAGAUCCUUGCUUGCCUUCAAGGAUACCAAAUAGCACAUUUUAUUAUUCCAUCCUCCUCUUAAUUCUGAGGGAACUAAAUUAUGCCUGCAAAUGAUUGAGCCUCAGCAAUUGAAUUACCUUGCAAAUUGCCAGUUCUAGAAACUGCCACGUUCUAAGGAUACCACUCGGUACGAUCUUGCAGAACGCAUACUCUCAAGAAGAACUUCCUCCAAAUGCUUCAGCAGUAGAGGAAAAAUCCUGUUCACUCAAUGGCCGGACACUACCUCAAGAACUGAAAGUAAGCUAUCUGAAGGCACUGA